rnacentral:rRNA from 1 species
UUUAUCGGAGAGUUUGAUCCUGGCUCAGGACGAACGCUGGCGGCGUGCCUAAUACAUGCAAGUCGAGCGGACAGAUGGGAGCUUGCUCCCUGAUGUUAGCGGCGGACGGGUGAGUAACACGUGGGUAACCUGCCUGUAAGACUGGGAUAACUCCGGGAAACCGGGGCUAAUACCGGAUGGUUGUUUGAACCGCAUGGUUCAGACAUAAAAGGUGGCUUCGGCUACCACUUACAGAUGGACCCGCGGCGCAUUAGCUAGUUGGUGAGGUAACGGCUCACCAAGGCAACGAUGCGUAGCCGACCUGAGAGGGUGAUCGGCCACACUGGGACUGAGACACGGCCCAGA